rnacentral:rRNA from 1 species
UUGGAGGGCAAGUCUGGUGCCAGCAGCCGCGGUAAUUCCAGCUCCAAUAGCGUAUAUUAAAGUUGUUGCAGUUAAAAAGCUCGUAGUUGAAUUUCGGGGUCAGCAGGUUGGUCGUGCCACUGGUAUGCACUGGUCUCGCUGAUUCCUCCCUCUUGUAGAACCGUAAUGCCAUUAAGUUGGUGUUGCGGGGAAACAGGACUGUUACUUUGAAAAAAUUAGAGUGUUUAAAGCAAGCUAACGCUUGAAUACAUUAGCAUGGAAUAAUGAAAUAGGACGAUCGAUCCUAUUUUGUUGGUUUCUAGGGUUGACGUAAUGAUUAAUAGGGAUAGUUGGGGGCAUUAGUAUUCAAUUGUCAGAGGUGAAAUUCUUGGAUUUAUUGAAGACUGACUACUGCGAAAGCAUUUGCCAAGGAUGUUUUCAUUAAUCAAGAACGAAAGUUAGGGGAUCAAAGACGAUCAGAUACCGUCGUAGUCUUAACCAUAAACUAUGCCGACUAGGGAUCGGAUGAUGUUAAUUUUUUAAUGACUCAUUCGGCGCCUUACGGGAAAC